rnacentral:snRNA from 1 species
GGAUGUGAGGGUGAUCUGGUUGCAACAUUUGUCUCCUCAUUGAGCACCGAGGUUGAUUUGACUGAUCUGGCUGGCCAGGUGGCUGUGCCCUUCCUCCCUUGCAGCUCCAUGUGUGUCCCUCCCAAAGCUGCACACUCAGUGGAAAAGGAGGACCAUUUCCUUGGCCAAGGGUGUCUGAGUAGUUUCGCUCCCCUGCUAGAACCUCCAAACAAGCUCUCAAGGAAUGGAGCACUAACAUUGCAGUACCAUGGAUGAACCUCGAAAACUUU